CGUGAAGGAUGACUGCCCUAUGGGUUGUAAACUUCUUUUAUAUGGGAAUAAAGUGGUCCACGUGUGGAUUUUUGUAUGUACCAUAUGAAUAAGGAUCGGCUAACUCCGUGCCAGCAGCCGCGGUAAUACGGAGGAUCCGAGCGUUAUCCGGAUUUAUUGGGUUUAAAGGGAGCGUAGGCGGAUUGUUAAGUCAGUUGUGAAAGUUUGCGGCUCAACCGUAAAAUUGCAGUUGAUACUGGCAGUCUUGAGUGCAGUAGAGGUGGGCGGAAUUCGUGGU
rnacentral:rRNA from 1 species